GGGGGGCUGGCGCAACGGUAGCGCGUUAGAUUCCAGCGACGAUCAGAUCUCUUUGAUCAGUCGAAAUUCCUAAAGGUUAUCAGUUCAAAUCUGGUGUCCCUCA